rnacentral:rRNA from 1 species
CGGACGGGUGAGUAAUGCCUAGGAAUCUGCCUGGUAGUGGGGACAACGUUUCGAAAGGAACGCUAAUACCGCAUACGUCCUACGGGAGAAAGCAGGGGACCUUCGGGCCUUGCGCUAUCAGAUGAGCCUAGGUCGGAUUAGCUAGUUGGUGAGGUAAUGGCUCACCAAGGCGACGAUCCGUAACUGGUCUGAGAGGAUGAUCAGUCACACUGGAACUGAGACACGGUCCAGACUCCUACGGGAGGCAGCAGAC